rnacentral:rRNA from 1 species
CGCGUAGGUGGUAUGGCAAGUCAGAAGUGAAAACCCAGGGCUUAACUCUGGGACUGCUUUUGAAACUGUCAGACUGGAGUGCAGGAGAGGUAAGCGGAAUUCCUAGUGUAGCGGUGAAAUGCGUAGAUAUUAGGAGGAACAUCAGUGGCGAAGGCGGCUUACUGGACUGAAACUGACACUGAGGCACGAAAGCGUGGGAGCAAACA